rnacentral:rRNA from 1 species
UACGUAGGGGGCGAGCGUUGUCCGGAGUACUGGGCGUAAAGCGCACGCAGGCGGUCUGCUAAGUUUGGAGUGACAGUUGAUGGCUCAACCAUCAAAGUGCUUCGAAAACUGACAGACUUGAGGGCUCAGAGGGACACGGAAUUCCGGGUGGAGUGGUGGAAAUGCGUAGAGAUCCGGAGGAACACCGAAGGCGAAGGCAGUGUCCUGGGGAGUACCGUGAC